UUUGACUUUUGGCAAAGCUAGGGAAACCUAGUGACGCAAAACUAAAGGGCCUUUCAAAUGGUAGCCAGUUGCACUU
rnacentral:ncRNA from 1 species